UACGAAGGGGGCUAGCGUUGUUCGGAAUUACUGGGCGUAAAGCGCACGUAGGCGGACUGUCAAGUCAGGGGUGAAACCCCGGGGCUCAACCUCGGAACUGCCUCUGAUACUGUCAGUCUAGAGUCCGGAAGAGGUGGGUGGAAUUCCUAGUGUAGAGGUGAAAUUCGCAGAUAUUAGGAAGAACACCGGUGACGAAGGCGGCCCACUGGUCCGGAACUGACGCUGAGGUGCGAAAGCUUGGGUAGCAAACAGG
rnacentral:rRNA from 1 species